UAGUAGACAUGGACUCAGUGCAAAGCCCAGUGAAGUCCAUUGCAAUCAAAUGAAAAUCCCGACUGACUUCAGUGGACUCUGGAUCAGAACAGAGGCAGCAAGGAAGAUGAAAAAUUGCCAGAGAGCACCCAUUUGAUACAUGCAAUACCAUGGAUUUCAAAUGUUAGAAAUAAAAGAUGCUUCAAAAGAGAUUAGUCUCAUAUCUGGAUUCCUGGAUCAGGGCCACAGAGAACCAGGGAUAAGGGACUGCAGGGCCAGGGUCAAGAUGGAGAGGAGCUCAGGCUUCCCCUCCCCCCCAACUUGUUUUAGAAGCCAAGCCUGGACUGGAUUUCAAGGUGUACUUUCAGAUACCAGACAAGGUUCCAGCAGUCCCAAGUGAACAUCUUCCUGGAUGGCACUCCGUGAUACCCAACCAGGGAAAAUACCUGUAUCUGUGUUCCUGAUCACUUUCCUCCAGGUGCAUUCACCUGCACGUUUCACAGCUGAAUUCCAUUUUUGUUACAAUUUGAACAGAUAUUUUGUUACCAUCUCCAGUUUCUCAUAUCAUUGAACAACAGCAUUUUAAUCCCUUCUUAGCUCUUCCAAACUUCCCCAUCUUAUAAGGCCCAGGCAGUACCUGGAGUUUGUGAGAUAAGUUGCCAUACUGGAUCAAACCUGAGAUCUACUUAAUAUCUCAUACCCUUUGGAGAGGAAAGGAAUCAAGGUCCAAGGAGUUAAGCUGAGAAAAGAUGUCACAAGCUAAGAGAGAUACUGAGGAGUGUUCUGCUGUUAAUGGUUUUAACAAUGUUCUAUGAUGGAGAAGAAGCCACUGCCCCACAGUUAAGCUUGCAACCCUUUCAAAGGAGACUGGAGAAAUGCCUAGUGUUUCAUCUAGCAGGACUGGACAUAUCAUCCAUCAGAAUUCAUCAUCACUUUCCUUUUCUCAUCUAGAGGUAUCAGUAAUGAGGUAGGAGAAGGAUCCAAGUCCUCAGAAGUCAGGGCUGGCAGACUGAAAGGCUGAUUUCUGAAAAUACUGGCAGGUCUCUCUGAAGGAUUAGGAGGUAGUCAUAUAAGAGGGUAAGACACUUUUACUUGUGUUUUGUUCCAUCUUCAUGUUUAAGGUCAGCUAUGCUUGCAUUAUUCUUUUCUCUUGCAUAGUAUAUACUUCUGUUGUGUUGCCUCCUAAUGGAUUGCCUGUGGUGAAGGGUGAGCAAGUGAUAUUCCAGGCUAAGCCAUUCUAUGGAUAGUGUUACCUAAAAUUUCUUUCACAACACAAAAGGAAACCACCUGGAAUUGGAAGAGAUUCCCCUGCUACAGCUGUGAGGUCCAGUACAAUGGCAGGCAGUGGAGCUGAGACUUUCAGGGAUGAGGAGUUAUCCCAGGGUAAAUAUUGGUCUGUUUCUUGGGACAAGUAGUGGGACAGCGGGGGGAAGCUCUGGGGGUACCCUAUGACAUAGGCAACAGGCUAAUAUUUUUUUUCUCUUCAUGUUCUGUUAAUUCCUUUUAGACCGCUGUAAGGUAUAUGUUCAUUUAUGAGGCUUAUUUGUUCUUUCUUUAUGACUAGUAUUAUAUCAAGUUCCUAUCAAUAGUUCCUGCCAGGUUCUUUGCCACAGGUUACAGAUCAAUCUUUUUUCUUUCUAAAUAAUUUAAUUUCACAAGGCAGCUGUCCUCUAAAUCACACAAAGAGCAAAAAUGUGCUUUGCAGCUUUUCUUCAAGCUCCUCUUUAUAAUUGUGCCUGUGUGGGUGAUCAAAAAGAGUUUCCAUUGUGUGCGCAACAUCCCAAAAUGUUAACUGAUGUUUCCCAGUGAUCUAUCUUUAAGAUACCUAUUAAAAUUGGAAUCUGGUAUUUGAUACACACACAAUUUCAACCAAAAACUUCACAGGUAACAGCUUUGAAAACUAAGAAUGCUAAUGGCUGGGUGUAAGGAUAUUGGCUCUUUAAGAGGCUCGUACAAAUAUAACAACAUUGGUUGGACAGGAUUGGCUGACGGAAAUUGGUUAAGAGCAGGGCUUCAGGCAGUUGUAUGCUAGUUAGCUUCUCUACUGAACUCAUGAGUAACAUGCUGGAGACUCUUGAAUUAUUGUUCUGAACAACCCCUUCCAUUUUUAUUGAAGAGUGAUAUUUGUCCUUCCCUUGGGAAAAUCAAAUGUGAGGACGAGGAAGGAAAGAAGAGGCAAUCUUUAUGAUGUGGACUUCUUUGGUAUUAAGGAUGAAAUAAGAAGAGAUAAUGAAGCAUUCUCAAAGAAUCAUUGUGGGGAG